ACCCGAAUAGCCAAGUGGUGAAGGCGUUGCAACUUAUAAUGCAAACAUCGGGGGUUCAAAUCCUCCUUCGGGUA